rnacentral:rRNA from 1 species
UACGUAGGGUGCAAGCGUUGUCCGGAUUUAUUGGGCGUAAAGAGCUCGUAGGCGGUCUGUCAAGUCGGCUGUGAAAACCCGAGGCUCAACCUCGGGCCUGCAGUCGAUACGGGCAAACUAGAGUGUUGCAGGGGAGACUGGAAUUCCUGGUGUAGCGGUGAAAUGCGCAGAUAUCAGGAGGAACACCGGUGGCGAAGGCGGGUCUCUGGGAAGUAACUGACGCUGAGAAGCGAAAGCGUGGGUAGCGAACAGG